rnacentral:rRNA from 1 species
UACAGAGGGGCAAGCGUUGUUCGGAAUUACGUGGCGUAAAGGGCGCGUAGGCGGCCUUCUAAGUCGAACGUGAAAUCCCCGGGCUCAACCCGGGAACUGCGUCCGAUACUGGAAGGCUUGAAUCCGGGAGAGGGAGUGCGGAAUUCCAGGUGUAGCGGUGGAAAGUGCGUAGAUAUCAGGAGGAACACCAGUGGACGAAGGCGGUGCUCUGGGCCGGAAGCUGACGCUGAGGAGCGAAGGCGUGGGGAGCAAACAGGAUUAGAUACCCGUAGGUAAGUC